AUGGAAAAUGGAAGACAGUCCUGGAGAUGGUAUUGUUACAUUCGGCCAGAGAUACACAACAAGAGGUCUAUGGUGCGAAUUUUUGUCAAUGUGAGGUUUAACCAGGCCUGGAGAUGGUAUUUGAUGGAUGGCACUCUUCUUUUUGCAUGCCUCGAAGAAAUUGCAGCUCCAGCAGGAACUUGUACGACAUCAAUAUGCCAACCUGCGCCAGCGGAAAAGAAAUCUCUGCUAUUUGAUUUUUGGAUGAUCAGAGGAUUUAAACUACCUAUGUUACAUUACAGGGGAGGCAGAUUUGGCUAG
rnacentral:rRNA from 1 species